rnacentral:rRNA from 1 species
GGGCUCACACAAGCGGUGGAGCAUGUGGCUUAAUUCGAGGCAACGCGAAGAACCUUAUCCUGGGUUUGACAUGUACGGAUGGCUCGCCUGAAAGGGAUGAGUCUGCCUUCGGGUGAAACGUACACAGGUGCUGCAUGGCUGUCGUCAGCUCGUGUCGUGAGAUGUUGGGUUAAGUCCCGCAACGAGCGCAACCCUCGUCCUAUGUUGCCAGCACGUAAUGGUGGGGACUCGUAGGAGACUGCCGGGGUCAACUCGGAGGAAGGUGGGGACGACGUCAAGUCAUCAUGCCCCUUAUAUCCAGGGCUGCAAACAUGCUACAAUGGCCGGUACAAAGGGCUGCGAGACCGCGAGGUUAAGCGAAUCCCACAAAGCCGGUCUCAGUUCGGAUUGCAGUCUGCAACUCGACUGCAUGAAGCUGGAAUCGCUAGUAA